rfam:Schistosoma mansoni, Puerto Rico, WGS project CABG01000000 data, contig: 0134
AUCCAGCUGACGAGUUCCAAAUAGGACGAAACGCGUGUCCUGGAU